ACUGAAUAGAUACCCAGGUAGUCCUAGCCCUAAACGGUGCUUGCUUGCUGUAAGUGGAAUCGACCCCACUUGUGGCGGAGCUAACGCGUUAAGCAAGCCGCCUGGGAAGUACGGUCGCAAGAUUAAAACUCAAAGAAAUUGACGGGGGCCUGCACAAGCGGUGGAGUAUGUGGCUUAAUUCGAUGCAACGCGAAGAACCUUACCUGGCCUUGACAUGCAAGUGGUAAAAGCCUGAAAGGGUGAUGACCCCGCAAGGGGAGCUUGCACAGGUGCUGCAUGGCUGUCGUCAGCUCGUGUCGUGAGAUGUUGGGUUUAAGUCCCGCAACGAGCGCAACCCCCUAUGUCCUGUUGCCACCCAAACGAGAGUUUGGAGCACUCUGGACAGACUGCCUCGCUUCAACGAGGAGGAAGGUGGGGAUGACGUCAAGUCAGUAUGGCCCUUACGGCCAGGGCUGCACACGUACUACAAUGCCCGGCACAGAGGGGAGCGGAACCGACAGGUGGAGCAAAUCCUUGAAAACCGGGCCCAGUU
rnacentral:rRNA from 1 species